GAGUCCAGCGAUGACUUCUAUGGCUCCUGUGCCUACUGUUGUAUACUGGAUCUGAUGAGCAGGAAUGCCGGUGUAACCCCUUUAAUUUUUAUCCCAAACGAACACUUAGUAAGCACUACUUUAAAAAUGUGUACUGCCCCUUUAAGUGUGAGCUUGCGCAGAGAGUGCGGGCACGCUGCAAGGCAGAGCGUAUGUGUAAACAGCAGGGAGAGAACGCAUGCAAUGUGAGUAAUGCUGAUUUGUUCGAUUAAAAUGAGCUGUAUAUUGCAAAUUUAAGUUAAAUAGCUGGUUUAUUGUUUUACAUGCUUGCUGUGAAGUUGAAUUGAAACACUGUGGAAGAGUGCUGAAGUUGAAAAGCACUUGUUGCUUUCUGUGAUUGGUUACUGAGACAUUCUGACUGGUUUUUGGUUCCUGGACAAAUUGUUGGAUGAUGUGAUUGACCCCUGAAUCAUCUGAGUGGAUUCUUCUGGAUAUCUCUUUGUCAUCUUGCCUUGUGUUUCAACUCUUCCGCUCUUGUUCUUCUGUUCUUGAGAACCUGGAGUGUUAUUUCUGGGAAGCGGUAGGACUGAGACAUUUUUUUUCUUACAUAGUCUUCUGCAUCCUAAGGAGAAGAAAAAACUGAACAUUUAAAUAUUGGGGAUACGCUUUUUGACAUACCUGGGUUAUAAUUAUACUGUUUAUAUUUGUUUCAAUCUAAUUGUCAAUUUAUUUUCUUUACUUGAGUGUUUUUGAAGUGCCAGAACAAAACAAAGAAAAGGGGAAAAACAUUCACCUAAAUUUGCCACAAAAUAUAUAUUCCUGGCUAAUUGUUCUUCGUGUGUGCCAUUGAUUUUUUUUAUAUUUCCAUUUAUGGUGUUUUUUCGUGUUCUUUGAGAAUCAGAGUAUUUGACUUGAUUGACACGUGCCCUAAAAGCUCCUUGAACGAACUUAGAGGAACAGACAUUUAGAUUUAGAUAAGCCCUGAGACAGGGGUUA